UACGUAGGGCGCAAGCGUUGUCCGGAAUUAUUGGGCGUAAAGAGCUCGUAGGCGGCUUGUCACGUCGGGUGUGAAAGCCCGGGGCUUAACCCCGGGUCUGCAUUCGAUACGGGCUAGCUAGAGUGUGGUAGGGGAGAUCGGAAUUCCUGGUGUAGCGGUGAAAUGCGCAGAUAUCAGGAGGAACACCGAUGGCGAAGGCAGGUCUCUGGGCCACUACUGACGCUGAGAAGCGAAAGCGUGGGGAGCGAACAGG
rnacentral:rRNA from 1 species